UGCAGUCAAGGGGUAGCAAUACCACUGGCGCACGGGUGAGUAACACGUAGGUUAUCUGCCCCCAUCACAGACAUAACCUCGGGAAACCGAGGCUAAUAUCUGAUGAGGUCGUGAGAUCAAAGCUUCGGCGGAUGGGGAUGAGCCUGCGGCUGAUUAGCUAGUUGGUGAGGUAAUGGCUCACCAGGGCGACGAUCAGUAGCUGGUCUGAGAGGACGAACAGCCACACUGGAACUGAGACACGGUCCAGACUCCUACGGGAGGCAGCAGUGAGGAAUAUUGGUCAAUGGGAGCAAUCCUGAACCAGCAAUGCCGCGUGUGGGAUGAAGGCGCUUCGCGUCGUAAACCACUGUCGGACGGGACGAAAGGAGCUAUGAAGCUCUAGGACGGUACCGUCAAAGGAAGGAUCGGCUAACUACGUGCCAGCAGCCGCGGUAAUACGUAGGAUCCAAGCGUUGUCCGGAUUUACUGGGUAUAAAGGGUGCGUAGGCGGCCUUGUGCGUCAGAGGUGAAAUCUCCGGGCUUAACCCGGAGGGUGCCUUUGAUACGGCAGGGCUUGAGUGCGAGAGAGGAUGAUGGAAUUCCUGGUGUAGCGGUGAAAUGCGUAGAUAUCAGGAGGAACACCGGUGGCGAAGGCGGUCAUCUGGCUCGAAACUGACGCUGAGGCACGAAAGCGUGGGGAUCAAACAGGAUUAGAUACCCUGGUAGUCCACGCCCU
rnacentral:rRNA from 1 species